rnacentral:rRNA from 1 species
UCCUGGCUCAGGAUGAACGCUAGCGGCAGGCUUAACACAUGCAAGUCGAGGGGCAUCGGGAGUAGCAAUACUGCCGGCGACCGGCGCAAGGGUGCGUAACGCGUGAGCAACAUGCCCGUAUCAGGGGGAUAAUCCAUGGAAACGUGGUCUAAUACCCCAUAGUAAUUAUGUAAGGCAUCUUAUAUAAUUUAAAGCUUUGGUGGAUACGGAUUGGCUCGCGUGACAUUAGCUGGAUGGUAAGGUAACGGCUUACCAUGGCUACGAUGUCUAGGGGUUCUGAGAGGAAGGUCCCCCACACUGGAACUGAGACACGGUCCAGACUCCUACGGGAGGCAGCAGUGAGGAAUAUUGGACAAUGGAUGGAAAUCUGAUCCAGCCAUGCCGCGUGCAGGAAGACGGCCCUAUGGGUUGUAAACUGCUUUUGUAUGGGAGCAAUAAGGGCUACGUGUAGUCCGAUGAGAGUACCAUACGAAUAAGCACCGGCUAACUCCGUGCCAGCCGCGGC